GACAGAGGCCUCGAGCGUUAGGCGGAAUCACUGGGCUUAAAGCGUGUGUAGGCGGACGCCUAAGUACCUUGUGAAAUCCCACGGCUCACCCGUGGAACCGCUGGGUAUACUGGGCGUCUUGGGCCAUUCAGGGGCAACUGGAACAAGCGGUGGAGCGGUGAAAUGCGUAGAUAUCGCUUGGAACGCCGACGGUGAAAACAGCUCGCUGGGGGUGCACUGACACUGAGACACGAAAGCCAGGGGAGCGAACGGG
rnacentral:rRNA from 1 species